rnacentral:rRNA from 1 species
UAACACUUGGAAACAGGUGCUAAUACCGUAUAACAACAAAAUCCGCAUGGAUUUUGUUUGAAAGGUGGCUUCGGCUAUCACUUCUGGAUGAUCCCGCGGCGUAUUAGUUAGUUGGUGAGGUAAAGGCCCACCAAGACGAUAAUACGUAGCCAACCUGAGAGGGUAAUCGGCCACAUUGGGACUGAGACACGGCCCAAACUCCUACGGGAGGCAGCAGUAGGGAAUCUUCCACAAUGGACGAAAGUCUGAUGGAGCAAUGCCGCGUGAGUGAAGAAGGGUUUCGGCUCGUAAAACUCUGUUGUUAAAGAAGAACACCUUUGAGAGUAACUGUUCAAGGGUUGACGGUAUUUAACCAGAAAGCCACGGCUAACUACGUGCCAGCAGCCGCGGUAAUACGUAGGUGGCAAGCGUUGUCCGGAUUUAUUGGGCGUAAAGCGAGCGCAGGCGGUUUUUUAAGUCUGAUGUGAAAGCCUUCGGCUUAACCGGAGAAGUGCAUCGGAAACUGGGAGACUUGAGUGCAGAAGAGGACAGUGGAACUCCAUGUGUAGCGGUGGAAUGCGUAGAUAUAUG